rnacentral:rRNA from 1 species
AAUGAACGCUGGCGGCAUGCCUAACACAUGCAAGUCGAACGAACCCACCAGGAGCUUGCUCCCCUGACGUUAGCGCCGGACGGAUGAGUAACACGUGGAUAACCUACCUCUACGACUGGGGUAACUACGGGGAACCGUAGCUACUACCCGAUGAUAUAUCGAACCGCAUGGUUCAAUAGUUAAAGACGGUUUUGCUGUCACUUAUAGACGACUCCGCGCCGGAUUCGCUAGUGGGUAAGGUCACUGCUUACCAAGGCUACGAUGCGUAGCCGACCUGAGAGGGUGAUCGGCCACACUGGAACUGAGACAGGGUCCAGACUCCUACGGGAGGCAGCAGUCGGGAAUCUUACGCAAUGGGCGAAAGCCUGACGUAGCAACACCGCGUGAGUGAUGAAGGUCUUCGGAUCGUAAAGCUCUGUUGUUAGGAAAGAACAAAAGCGUAUUUACCCAUGAUCGUCUUGACGGUACCGAAAGAAUAAGCCACGGCUAACUACGUG